rnacentral:rRNA from 1 species
CGUAGGUGGCAAGCGUUGUCCGGAAUUAUUGGGCGUAAAGCGCGCGCAGGCGGUUCCUUAAGUCUGAUGUGAAAGCCCCCGGCUCAACCGGGGAAGGUCAUUGGAAACUGGGGAACUUGAGUGCAGAAGAGAAGAGCGGAAUUCCACGUGUAGCGGUGAAAUGCGUAGAGAUGUGGAGGAACACCAGUGGCGAAGGCGGCUCUUUGGUCUGUAACUGACGCUGAGGCGCGAAAGCGUGGGGAGCAAACAGGAUUAGAUACCCUGGUAGUCCACGCCGUAAACGAUGUGUGCUAAGUGUUAGAGGGUUUCCGCCCUUUAGUGCUGCAGCUAACGCAUUAAGCACUCCGCCUGGGGAGUACGGCCGCAAGGCUG